UCAGCAGCCGCGGUAAUACGGAGGGGGCUAGCGUUGUUCGGAAUUACUGGGCGUAAAGCGCACGUAGGCGGUUGUGUCAGUCCGUUGUGAAAGCCCCGGGCUUAACUUGGGAAUGGCAAGGGCGACGGCAUGACUGGAGUGUAACAGAGGACCGUGGAAUUCCCGGUGUAGCGGUGAAAUGCGUAGAGAUCGGGAAGAACACCGAUGGCGAAGGCAGCGGUCUGGGUUAACACUGACGCUGAGGGGCGACAGCGUGGGGAGCAAACAGGAUUAGAUACCCUGGUAGUCCACGCCGUAAACGAUGAGAACUAGACGCUGGGCAGGUCACUGCUCGGUGUCGCAGCUAACGCGUGAAGUUCUCCGCCUGGGGAGUACGGCCGCAAGGUUGAAACUUAAAGGAAUUGGCGGGGGA
rnacentral:rRNA from 1 species